rnacentral:rRNA from 1 species
GCUUUAUAAUUUUAUUUUAUUAUUAAUUUAGGAAUAUUUUAAAAAUAAUUGAAAAAUUAUUUUGUUGGGGUGACAAGAAGAUUUAAUAAACUCUUAUUAGUUUAAAACCAUUGAUAUAUGAAUUGUUGAUCCAUUUUUAGUGAUUAUAAGACUAAGU